GAGGGCGGGGCGGCGCUUGUCCCCUGUCUUGUUGUUGUUGCUGCUGCUGCUGCUCCCCGCCUUCGCCCUGGUUGAACCCCGGCCGCGGGGAGCGGGGAGGCGGCGGCGGCGGGGAUGAGCCCGGGCGGCCGGCUUUGGCAGCAGCAGCCCCCGCCUCCGCCGCCGCCUCCUCCUCCGCCUCCUCCUCCGCUGCCGCCAUGAAGCGGAAGACCACGGCGACGGGGGCGCGGAGACACUCCGCCCCGGCCACCCUGCCGCCCGUCGCGCCGCCGCUGCCCCCGGUCAAGAAGUCUCGGCGCUCGCUGCCGGCCCUGAACGUAGUGCUGGAGGAGGAGGAGGAGGAGGAGGAAGAGGCCAAGCCCGCACAGAAGGAGGUCCUCCUCCAGGUCACCGAUCGUCUUUAUUUUGCCAUUCUCUUCCAUAAACCAAAGAACAGUAGCUCAAGUUCACACUAUUUCUGCAUAGAUGAUGAAUUGGUAUAUGAGAACUUCUAUGCAGAUUUUGGGCCACUCAAUCUGGCAAUGAUUUACAGAUACUGUUGCAAGCUAAAUAAAAAGUUGAAGUCUUUUACCAUGUUAAGAAAGAAGAUUGUUCAUUAUGCUGGUAUUGAUCAGAAAAAACAAGUCAAUGCAGCCUUCCUUAUAGGCUGUUACUGUAUGAUAUAUCUGAGAGAGUCUCCAGAAGUUAUAUACAGGCGCUUAUUAUUUGAAAAUAUGUCAUAUCUUCCUUUCAGGGAUGCUGCUUUUGGUACAUGCAGUUUUCAUCUAACACUGCUUGACUGUUUUCAUGGAGUCAAUAAGGCUUUGCAGUAUGGUUUCCUUGAUUUCAGUACAUUUGAUGUCGAUGAAUACGAACAUUAUGAGAAAGCAGAAAAUGGAGACUUUAACUGGAUAAUACCAAAAAAAUUCCUUGCCUUCAGUGGACCACAUGCAAGAAGUAGAAUUGAAAAUGGUUAUCCACAUCAUGCUCCUGAGGCUUAUUUUCCUUACUUCAGAAGACAUAAUAUUACCACUGUAAUCCGCCUGAACAAGAGAGUUUAUGAUGCAAGAAGAUUUAGAGAUGGGGGCUUUGAACACUAUGAUCUCUUCUUUGCUGAUGGGAGUACGCCAAGUGAUACUAUCGUCAGAACGUUCCUAAAUAUUUGUGAAAAUGCUGAAGGUGCUAUAGCAGUUCAUUGUAAAGCUGGACUUGGCAGAACUGGUACCCUGAUCGCCUGCUAUAUGAUGAAACAUUACAGGAUGACUGCUGCAGAAUGUAUGGCCUGGAUUAGGAUUUGCAGACCUGGCUCUGUGAUUGGAGCACAGCAGCACUUCUUGUUAGAGAAACAGCCGGAACUUUGGUUGGAAGGGGAUAUGUACCGUGCAAGGUUGAGGAAAACCAGCAGCAUUACUGUUACAAAAAUUCUUUCAGGAGUAGAUGACAUUACAAUUAAUGAUUCAAAAAGUCAGAAUGCCAGCAAGAAAGAGUCUGAACCGUACAGUGAUGAAGAAGACACAGUUACACAGGGGGAUAAGCUUCGUGCCCUGAAAAGUAGAAGGCAGUCAAAAAGAAACUCAAUACCACUAACAAUAAUUCUGCAAUCCAGUGUUCACAAAAGUAAAAAGACUGAACCUGGUAUUUCUGCCAAUGCAAACAUUCCUAAAAGAACCACUAGGUCUACUGCCAGAAAAAGCAGUUUCAAAAGGCUGGAAACCCAUACUGCAAAUGCAAGAGCCCUUCCUUGUUGCUUCAGUUAGCAGUUUAGGGAACGAGAUAUUGCCUUGACACAAUGAGUGGAAAGAGGAUGGAUUGUAAGAGACUUGGCGCAUAGGAGCAAAUACACAUCUGAUGCCUCAGAGAGAAAGAAGGAAAAGGGAUGCUUUACAACAAAUACGCUUAUGCAGUGCUCCUAUUCCAAGAACAAGAACUGUGCUGCGUUGAACAAUCGGAACUGAAGAAGACGUAGAGGAACAAAAGGACAUUGCUGUCAAUUAAAAAAAAUCGAACUGACAAUUUUUUUUUAAAAAAAGUGGUCUAUUUUAACUUUUAGCUGCAAUUCUUCGAAGUUUAGAGAAGUUUGUGCAAAGACCCAAAGCUAUGACCAUAUUCUGGAAGCACUUGCAGAUGUAAAUGUGAUAAUGGCCUGUAAAUUUUAGCUUUGAGUCUAAAUAACGCAUUUCUUACCAAGAGAGCUUUCUUUUUGUCUGAUGCUAAUGUAUGAAAUGUGAUGGCAAUCAACUCUCUCUGCCCUCUGCGACAUUUAUGGGAACCCGAGGUGAACAGGUUUGCUAUUUAAUCAUUUAAGGCUUUCUAUCGCAGCAUAGCUUCUCAUAAAAUGGAGGAGGGGGAAGAAUUGGGAAGAUAUGUCUCAUUUUUGUUCAUUGAAACAUAAUUCCUUAAAUUGUAUGUCCUGAUUUUUAAAGUCAUUUUUAUCAUCUGCAACUGACUUCUAAAUUCACCAAAGAGUGCUUUACUCCCAUCGUUUUGUUUUCUUGUUUUUGCCAAUUCACCAUUGUCUAAAGCAGAGCUCCCCAAACAUGACAUGUUGGCAACAUACUUUUUAGACAUGCAUCAUUUCAUGACACAGUAAUUCAGUUUUACUAUCAAACUGGAGGUGAAACCCCCAACUCCUUGUAAGAGGUAUGGACACAUACAUAAAUUCUGCUUACAAAAUGUAUGGGGGCACACUAUAUCUCAUGAAAAUUUUUCAUUUGUAAAAAAUAUAUGAUUUAUUGGUUAUUGCAUCUAGACUCAGGUUUCUCGUUAAGUUCGUGUGACACUCCUACACACACUGCAAUUGACACAAAUGUGUUGCACACACAGUUUGGAAAGCUCUGGUCUAAAGUGUUACUUUAAAUUAACAAAAAUACCUAUGUGCGUUGUAUUUUCAUGUCACAUUUGUAAGAGAUUUUCUUGUGCGGGUACUAGUGUAUGGGUAGAGAAAUGAGUGCAAACCUUCAGCAAUUGUAAAUAAUUGGAUAAAAUGCAGCAAAAGUAAGCCUUUUUAAUGAAUGUUUCUGGGUGCAUACGUGCAAGCACAUGCACGUAUGUAUAGAGUGCCUCAUAAAUGGCAGUGGGCAACGCUCCACUAAAACAUUUUUUUUAAGACUUAGAAUCAUAGAGUUGGAAAAGACCUCGUGGGCCAUCCAGCCCAACCCCCUGCCAAGAAGCAGGAAAAUCACAUUCAAAGCACCCCCCCCGACAGAUGGUCAUCUAGCCUCUGUUUAAAAGCCUCCAAAGGAGCCUCCACCACACUCUGGGGUAGAGAGUUCCACUGCUGAACAGCUCUCACAGUGAGGAAGUUCUUCCUAAUGUAACUUGAUGAAAGAUGGAACAUACAUUUGCCCGUUCUGUUGCCAAGUAUCACCUCAGAGAAGGUCCUGGCCAAAAAAACUGCCUUCCUUACAGAAAUGGGAUUACACCUGAACUGGGGUUCCUAUUGAACUAUGGCUUGGCAUUGCUGUAGUAACCCUUUUUCAUUCCUAGUUUCUGAUUUGUAAAAGCUUUUGGUCUAUUCUAAUUCAUAGAGAAGUAACAGGAAUAUCUGGAAAAUUGUAGUGAAAUCUGGAAAAAGCACUAUGGGGUGCUAAAAUUACCAUUUGUGAUUUAAAAGAGUAAAGAGAAAUUAUUACCAGACUGUAAUAAUUUGGUCAUUAGUAACUGAAGCAGUACUAUUACAGCUAUGUUUGUUGCUUUGUUCACCCUUACGGUAGUACAGUACUGUUCAGUAUUUUUCUCCAAAGAGAAAUGCUGGAGUUGCCAGAAAGUACUACAGACACUGAAUUAUUCACUUGAGAAGAUUAUCUUUAGGCUUUUAACCAGACCUCUGGCUUUAGCCAUGCUAACUAGUCCUCAGUACUUUGUGUUUUCAUUCAUGGCACUGGAGUUGGACUGGAUGGCCACUCUUCCAACUAAUUCCAUGACAGUUCUUAUGGACCAACACAAUCAUGGAGCAAAUCCCUUUAUGUUUUAAAGAAACGUGAAGUAUUGGACAGUCCUCCUGGAACACUCUGCAGGCAGAGCUUAAGAUAAAGAUUACUUCUACAAAGCUAUAGUUCCAGAACACCCCCUAAAAUACUAUUAUCAGAUGUUUUUAACAUAGCUAAUUUCCUAUUUAUUGAAAGUAAUUCACAUUUUAAUUAAACACUGUAAGUCACUGGCCUCUGCUACAAAACACAUUCCUCCUCUUCACUUUGUUGCGACUUCAUAAACCAUAAGAGUGAAGCAGAUUUGAACCAUGUUAUUGUCACCUUGUAACAUACUGCCAUAAUUAAAACUUGCUAAAAAGCUUGCUAUGCCACAAAAGGUCUGAAGCAGAAUUACAAUCUCAAAGUUGCAUCUUCAUCAUCAUCAUCAUCAUCAUCAUCAUCAUUUAAUUACUUAUUAAUCGCCCUCCAUCCACGAUGCUCUAGGCGAUUUACAAGAUAAAAAAGGAGAAAAAUACAUACAUCUUCAUUAAGGGAUUAACUGCUGUGUUUGAUGCUUAUAGGCACCUGUUUGAAAGGAUUGGCAAUGGAAAUCCAGUUGCUUUCUAACUUAGCUUGCAUGGAAUUCAUUAUCCUUAUUUACUCUUCAGGAAAAUGUUGACAAACUUCUAGGAAUUGCAGAUUUAGUCAUUUUUUUGUUCAUGAAACUUGUUAUGCUCCUGUUCCAUUAUUAGACCUUGUUUCAAUGCUGGAGUACAAUACAUGUACACUGAAGAUACAAUUUCCGCAUCAAACAUGUGAACUAUGGGUGUCACACAUCUGUGUAUAUUGGGGAAUGGCAACUGGUCCAGUGUUUAGAUAAGACCAUCUUCUCGGACACAAUUUGAACAUAAUAUAUAUCCUGAAAUGCUGUCCUUAGGAUCAGUGUAUCCCCCCCCCCCCCCCCCCAAAUACUGCCUUUUGGAUUUUUACUCAUUGACCACACAUUGUUGUUGAGUAGUCAAAUAUAAUCUAAAUUUCAAAUUACUUUCAUAAAUCAACUCUGGCCUCUGAUUUCCAGAGUUCUCAUAGAAUCAUAGAAUAGUAGAGUUGGAAGAGACCUCAUGGGCCAUCCAGUCCAACCCCCUGCUAAGAAGCAGGAAAUCGCAUUCAAAGCACCCCCGACAGAUGGCCAUCCAGCCUCUGCUUAAAAGCCUCCAAAGAAGGAGCCUCCACCACGGCCCGGGGGAGAGAGUUCCACUGUCGAACAGCCCUCACAGUGAGGAAGUUCUUCCUGAUGUUCAGGUGGAAUCUCCUUUCUUUCCUGUAGUUUGAAGCCAUUGUUCCGUGUCCUAGUCUGCAGGCCUGCAGAAAACAAACUUGCUCCCUCCUCCCUAUGACUUCCCUUCACGUAUUUGUACAUGGCGAUCAUGUCUCCUCUCAGCCUUCUCUUCUGCAGGCUAAACAUGCCCAGCUUUUUUAGCCGCUCCUCAUAGGGCUUGUUCUCCAGACCCUUAAUCAUUUUAGUCGCCCUCCUCUGGACGCUUUCCAGCUUGUCAACAUCUCCCUUCAACUGCGGUGCCCAAAAUUGGACACAGUAUUCCAGGUGUGGUCUGACCAAGGCAGAAUAGAGGGGGAGCAUGACUUCCCUGGAUCUAGACGCUAUACCCCUAUUGAUACAGGCCAGAAUCCCGUUGGCUUUUUUAGCUGCUGCAUCACAUUGUUGGCUCAUGUUUCACUUGUUGUCCACGAGGACUCCAAGGCCUUUUUCGCACACACUGCUGUCAAGCCAGGCAUCCCCCAUUCUGUAUCUUUGAUUUCCAUUUUUUCUGCUGAAGUGAAGUAUCUUGCAUUUGUCCCUGUUGAACUUCAUUUUGUUAGUUUCGGCCCAUCUCUCUAGUCUGUCAAGAUCGUUUUGAAUUCUGCUCCUGUCUUCUGGAGUGUUAGCUAUCCCUCCUAGUUUGGUGUCGUCUGCAAACUUGAUGAUCGUGCCUUCUAAUCCUUCGUCUAAGUCGUCAAUAAAGAUGUUGAACAGAACCGGGCCCAGGACAGAGCCCUGCGGCACUCCACUUGUCACUUCUUUCCAUGAUGAAGACGACGCAUUGGUGAGCACCCUUUGAGUUCGUUCACUUAGCCAAUUACAGAUCCACCUAACCGUAGUUUUGUCUAGUCCACAUUUUACUAGUUUGUUUGCCAGAAGAUCGUGGGGGACUUUGUCGAAUGCCUUACUGAAAUCCAGGUACGCUACAUCCACAGCAUUCCCUGUAUCGACCCAACUCGUAACUCUAUCGAAAAAAGAGAUCACAUUAGUCUGGCAUGACUUGUUUUUGGUAAAUCCGUGUUGACUAUUAGCAAUGACCGCAUUUGUUUCUAAGUGUUCGCAGACCACUUCCGUAAUGAUCUUUUCCAGAAUCUUGCCUGGUAUCGAUGUGAGGCUGACCGGACGGUAAUUGUUUGGGUCGUUCUUUUUUCCCUUCUUGAAGAUAGGGACCACAUUCGCCCUCCUCCAAUCUGCUGGGACUUCUCCUGUUCUCCAAGAACUCUCGAAGAUAAUUGCUAGUGGUUCUGAAAUAACUUCCGCUAGUUCCUUAAGUACUCUUGGAUGUAGCUGAUCUGGCCCUGGGGACUUGAAUUCGUUUAGAGUGGCCAGGUGUUCCUGGACAACUUGUUUCCCUAUUUGGGGUUGGAUUUCCCCCAAUCCUUCGUCCAUUCCAUGUUGCUGAGGUUGAAGAUGGCUUUCUUUUUGUGAGAAGACCGAGGCAAAGACGGCAUUAAGCAGUUCUGCCUUUUCCCUAUCCCCCGUCGCCAUCGCCCCAUCUUCUCCUUGCAGAGGCCCUAUCGCCUCCUUCUUCUUCCUUUUUCUACCAACGUAAGCAAAAAAGCCUUUUUUUGGUUGUUUUUUAUGUCCCUGGCAAGCCUGAGCUCAUUUUGCGCUUUAGCCUUGCGAACCUUUUCCCUACAGGUGUUGGCUGUACGUUUGAAUUCUUCUUUGAUGAUUUCUCCCCUUUUCCACUUCUUGUGCAUGUCACUUUUGAGCUUUAGCUCAGUUAGAAGUUCUUUGGACAUCCAUUCUGGCUUCUUUGCACUUGUCUUAUUUUUCUUCUUUGUUGGCACUGUUUGCAUUUGCGCCUUCUCUAAUAAUUAUGGACACUGAAUGAAGUAUCAGCAUGCUUGGGUUUUAAAAAAUGGAUAUCAUUUUAAAUAACGGUUGUAUGUUAUGCUCUCAGCUACUCAGGUUCAUUUCCUACUCAACAAUAUUCCAACAAAAAGAAAUCAGCUCUUUGUUAUUUUUAGUUUUGUUAAAUGUGGGGAAGCUAUGAAAUAAAUAAGUUUAUAUGUCAAUGAGGCUAAAUUUUCAGUCUGUUGUGAUAAAACUGGUUUAGACACAAGUUCCUGUAUUUUGAUAUUUGCUUUAGUGUAAAUGGAAAUAACACCAAGUGAAUUAGGUAAAUUAAUACUUGUACCAGGACCCAAAAUUUUUCAACAGUUAUUACCAUACCCUUUUAUACUACCAUCUCUUUUUACAAAGCCCCAUCUCAAGAAUCUAGCUAUGCAUUAGCUGUAUUCAGCCAUUACUACAAUUAGAAGGCCAGAUGGACUGAAUUUCACUGGCACAUUUUAUGGGAUUUUGUUUAGAGCUCAAGAGUAUACUUACAAAAGCCAUAGGAAAAAGCAGUAGGUACCUUUGAAGUAGCCCAUUUAACAAAAAAUGACCCCCCUUUUCAUAUUUACUUAAGGAUUUCCCUUGAAGAUCAUAAAAAGGUAAUUCCUUCAUAACAAUUCACAAUUGCUGCUUUGUAAAAUCAGAUCUGAAGAGCAACCUGACGUACAUGUUUUGAAAAGAUAUUGUGAGCCUUCAAGUCAUUUCUGACCUACAACAACCCUAAGGCAAACUUAUCACAUGGUUUCUUAGCUAGAUUUUCCAUUGGUUUCUUCUGAGGGGAAGAGCUUGACUUGUCCAAGAAUUCUAGAGGGGGGGGGGGUGUUCAUAGCCAAAUUCGGACUCAAGCCCAGAUCUCUAGAAUUGACGUCCAUUGUUUAAACCACUACACCUCGCUGGGUCUAUGAUCUGGAACUUUCAUCAAACCUAACCAAGCUAGUGUAGCAACCACUGUACAUGUCCACAAUGAGGGCUUUAAGUUUCUGGUGGGAUUUCCACAUGCACUUCAAGGGACUUUUGAAAUUUCUGGACCAAUGUUUAAUGUCUCAUAGAACACAUAUAAGCUUGACAUUAAAUUAAAAACUAUUGCAGGUUUCCCAGUUGUCUAAUAUCCAAUAAUUCUGCGCAGGCGUGUAAAUUAAGCAGGUUAUGUUGUUCUUUCCAAAUACAGAUUUUUUUUAGCUUAGGUUUCUAGUUGGUCUCUUGACAUGCACACUAUGUACCGAAGAAAUUAUUUCAAGACUAUACUGGUUGGGUAGCACAACUGUACAACCUUCUGAACUUUCAUAGUUAGUUAAAUUGUUCUUGGCAUUAGUCUGUUUUACUACAGACAGCUAUAACCGUUCAAAGACAAGGGAAAAGCUUUUUCAGGGUGAUUGCUUUUAAAUCCCAAUAUUGUCCUGUAGUUUUGUAUCUACUGCUUUGUAAACUCCUGUACAGACCAUCUGUUCAUAGUAUAGUGUAAUCAAUACUGUUCAGCUUUUUGAAAGAAAAAUUGUAAUAUUUAAAAAAGUCAGGAAAAUUUAUUUUGCUAAAUAUAUUUUAAGGGUAAACUUGAUACUAUCUUGAAAGUUUAAUUUGAUAGUAUGUAUUUCUCAUUAAAUCAGUGUGAUUUGAUUAAUUAACUUGUAAAAUGUAUACAAAUAAAAUGUAUUGUUUGA